rnacentral:lncRNA from 1 species
GUGGAGGACCAUGCCCUGCAGGUCACUACUGCCCUAGAGGCACCAUCGAUCCUCAACCUUGCCCCAUUGGCACAUUCAGCAACCUGACCAAACUAGUCUCCCAGGUAUAUUCGUUUCUCAAGGCUCAAUACGCUCAAUAUUCCUGACAUUUCCUCCCAAUACCACAGCACAGUGACUGCAGCCUGAGCCGUUGUUGUUAUGCUCUACCUUCUCCCAUAGAACGGCUGCCGGCACUGCUCCCCAGGUUAUUACUGUGACGCGUCUGGGCUAACAGCGCCUACAGGGGAAUGCUGGGAAGGUUUUUAUUGUCGCCGUGGAGCAGUUUUCCCCAACAGCCCUAUCAGAGACAGCCGAGGAGGGCCGUGUCCACGAGGUAACUCACCAAUCCACACCUCCUCCCCUGGGUUCGCAAAUAUAAAGGACUCCCCAGAAUACUGUCUCUAUCUCUUUUCUCUCUUUCUCUCUCUCUCUCUCUCUCCGUUUUCCUCCAUCUUCUUUCUCCCCAAAGUGCUGUCUCUGUCGCCCCUAUUGUCUCUGUCUUUAUCUCUGUGUCUUUCUCUACCUCUCUCUCGGUUUUUCUCUCUCCACUCAUUGUUUCCUAUUUCUCACACACAGGUUAUUUUUGCUCUAAGGGUUCGUCAGCUCCGCGAGAGUGUCCCCAGGGAGCCGUCAGUUUAGAAGAGGGUCGAUCCAGCUGUAGCCCCUGUCCCCAGGGUUAUUACUGUCCUGGCAACAGCUCCCUCCAUGAAACCAAUGAGUGCCCUGUGGGUCAUUACUGCCCAAAUGGCACCUCCUCUCAGUACCAGUACCCAUGCCCUGCUGGGACCAGCAACCCACACACUAGGAUGGGCAGUCCACAGGACUGCCUGCCAUGCCCCCCAGGGUUUUUCUGUGCCUUUCCUGGACUGAGUGCCGUAUCGGGCCAAUGCAUCGCUGGCUAUCUUUGCCACUCUGGAGCAGUAUCCCCGAAACCAGAAGACGGUGUGACCGGUGAGCGGUGUCCCCAAGGUCAUUACUGUCCAGAGGGCUUGGCUGCAGCGCCACGUCCCUGUCCUCUAGGAUAUUAUAGCAACACCACCAGGAACACACAACUCUCUGACUGCCUGCCCUGCCCUGCAGGGUUCAUUUGUGCCAGCAGAGGGCUCUCCAUCCCUUCUCAUCUCUGCCAGGCUGGCUCCUACUGCCCUUACAGACACAACUCCAGCCUCCCUGGCUCUAUCACCUGCUCAGCUGGGCAUAUGUGCCCACUUGGCAGUGCCAUCCAGGUUCCCUGUGUGCCAGGGACUUACCAGGAUCAAUCUGGGCAGGCAGAGUGUUUUACCUGUCCAGCAGGGUUUUACUGUGCAGGCUCAGUACAUCCUAACACAGAACAGGGGGUGGGAACACACAUGCCAACCCCUUGUCUGAAGGGACACUACUGCCCCCCAGGCACACGGUCUGGUGUGGAGUACCCAUGCCCAGCUGGCACGUUUAGUGGGCAGACCAGCACAUCUAAUAAGAGUGGGUGUGUGCCCUGCCCUCCAGGGAAGUACUGCAGCUCUGCAGGGUUGGCAGCGCCUACUGGGCAAUGCUCUCCUGGGUACCUUUGUAUCCGAGGCUCUGUUACUUCUCAGCCAGCUGGAGAUCCUACAGGUGGAAAAUGCAUCGCUGGGUCCUACUGCCCACUGGGUACCAGUCACAUGCUUCUAUGCCCGCCUGGUACUUUCAGCUCUUUAGAAGGGGCAGUAUCUGUGGCUGCGUGCCAGCCCUGUGUGCCUGGGCAGUACUGUGCAGACUUUGGCCUUGCCUCCCCAUCUGGUCCCUGCAGCGCUGGGUUCUACUGCCCAAUAGGAUCCAGAACCCCCAUGCCAAAUCAUAAUGCAACAAGUAAUAAUGAACCAAGAAAUGCAACUUCUGUAUAUCCUCCUCGUGAUGGAGAGGUCUUGGAACAGAUCAAUGGAGACCUGUGUCCAGGAGGCCACUACUGUCCGAUUGGGACAGCUCAGCCAAUACCCUGCCCCCCAGGCACCUUUCUGGGUGGAUAUGGUGGUCAAUCAGAGGCAGACUGUGAGGCUUGUCCGUCUGGAUUCUACUGCCCUGUGUGGGGGCAGACCACCACAGACCUCCACUGUCCCCAGGGUUGGUUCUGUCCAGUAGGCGCUGUAUCAGGGCAUCAACCAGAAUGUCAGUGCCCGUCUGGUCAUUCGUGCCCGUAUGGAAGUGCCAAGCCUGUCAUCUGUGCCCCUGGCACCUAUCAGUCUUUGACUGGUCAGUCUACAUGCAAGACCUGCCCACCAGGUUUUUAUUGUGUGGAGGGAACCUCUGUCCCAACACCAUGCCCAGCUGGCAGUGUGAGUCAGGCUGAGGGGAGAGCAUCUCAGAGGGAGUGUUCUCCAUGCCCUCCUGGGCUCUACUGCAACAGCAGUGCUCUCACCUCUCCCUCAGGACCCUGCUCUCCAGGCCACUUCUGUUCCCGUGGAGCUACUGUUCCUGAUCCAGUCUCCCAGACCUUUGGGGAUGUCUGCCCUCUAGGACACUACUGCCCAGAGGGUAGUGGGUCGCCCACACCCUGUUCUGUGGGUAGCUACCUUCCAGAGAGGGGUGCUCCAUCCCCCUCCCGCUGCUACCCUUGUCCCCCAGGAAGAUACUGCCUCAACCCAGGCUCCUCACAAUUCACAGGUCCUUGCUCCCCUGGUUUCUACUGUAGUGGCGGUGCAGACAGUGCUAUACCCCAGGCUAACUCCUCCCAGCUCAGCUGCCUUUGUGGCAUGAUAAAGGUCCAUCCUACUAACCAAGAUCUUUGUUCCUGGUUACACAACACUUCCUGCUCACCUAACAGUAUAGAUACAGAUGGAGAUGGGAGCUGGAUGGAUGUCGUAGCUAGGCCAUGGUCAGGUCAGGCCUUGGCCGACUCUACACCUCAUCUCAGGAGUCCACUUUAUAAAUGUGCUAACUUCAAAGGCGAUAUAUGUCCCAAAGGUUUCUACUGUCCUGUAGGAUCGGCUUACCCUCAGCCCUGUGACACUGGCUUCUACUGUGGUCAGACUGGCCUGGAAGCCCCCAGUGGCCUCUGUACCCCAGGCUAUUUCUGCUCCAGGGGUUCCACGACCCCUCACGCCUCACUCUGCCCCCCUGGACACUACUGCCCCCAGGGCACACCUCUCCCUCUACCUUGCCCUCCUGGAACCCUGAAGGGUCGAUCAGGCGGGUCCACAGUGGACGAUUGCCAGCCUUGCCCCCCUGGUCAUUACUGCGAUCAGAUAGGCUUGGCCGGGCCCAGCGGUCAGUGUGCUGCUGGCUACUACUGUCCUGGGGGACAGAGCACUGAUAGACCGUCACAACAUGUGUGUGGAGUUGGUCAUUUCUGCAAGGAGGGUAGCGUGAGAGAGAGAGCCUGUGCCCCAGGCAGCUACCAGCCUAGUGAGGGUCAGCACCGAUGUGAGGUGUGUCCUUCUGGCUUCUACUGUCUUGAAGAAGGAAGGACACACUUGGUUCCAUGCGGAAGAGGAUUCUAUUGUCCACGUGGAACAGCCAAUCAGCAUCCUUGUCCAUCCGGGACCUAUGGAAACUUAUCAGGAUUGGCUGACGAAUCGGAAUGCUCUUUGUGUGAACCGGGGAUGUACUGUAAAGGAACAGGGAGAAAUUACCCCAGUGGUCCAUGCAGUGCAGGGUUUGUGUGUUUUGGGGCCGCCUCUCAACCCUCCCCCUCAGACAACAUCACAGGCGCUCCAUGUCCUCCUGGAUUCCACUGUCCUGUUGGAAGCUCCGUACCAAUGCCCUGCCCUAAAGGCACAUUCAGUGAGCAAAGUGGACUAACGGAGCCCUCCCAGUGUCGUAGAUGUGUUCCAGGGUUCUACUGUGCAGAGCCAGGCCUUAAAGCAGUCACUGGAGCCUGUCUGCCAGGUUUCUACUGUUUGGAAGGGUCCCAGAGUGCUGCCCCGAUGUCAGGUGUAUUUGGAGGUGUUUGCAACCCAGGCCACUACUGUGAGAGUGGGACCAGUGUGCCUGCAUCCUGCCCUGCUGGCACCCAUCACAAUAACACCGGAGGGAAGAAGAGUGAUGACUGCAAGCCAUGUCCUGAUGGUUGGUUCCAGGACUUGGAGGGCCAGAGGGAGUGUAAGCCCUGUCCCCCUGGCUCUCACUGCCUGACCACCAACACAACUGGCAGCACCAGUGGCCCCAUCACCCCUCUGCCCUGCCCAGCUGGCUAUGUCUGCCCCAGAGAGAGCUCCUUCAGCCAACCCUACCCCUGCCCCAAAGGCACCUACAGCCCUACUCUGGGUCUCACAUCCCUUGGGGAGUGCUUGGUUUGUCCGGCGGGCCAGUUCUGUGGAUCAGAGGGUCUGGUUGAGCCCACUGGACCCUGUGCUCCUGGAUUCCUCUGUGUUACCAGGGCCACAGUGCCCAACCCCACCGACAACAGGACAGGGUCAACCUGCCCCCCCGGAUCAUACUGCCAACUAGGAUUCAGAGCAGGUGCUUGUGCCCCUGGGUUCUUCUGUGACUGGGGCUCCAGUAGUCCUGAGGAGGCCCUCUGUCCAGCAGGCUACUUCUGUCCAGGAGGAACUAGGACCCCCCUGGCCUGUCCUGCAGGGACACACAGCUCAGUGACAGGCAACAGCCACCAGAACAACUGUACAACAUGUCCUGAUGGCUACUACUGUCAGGGAGAAGGGGUGGUCUAUCCAGUGGUCUGUCCUCUUGGUCACUACUGCCCUCCUGGGUUGGCCGUGGGUGUGAAGUUCCCCUGUCCCCCUGGCACAGUGCAGAGCAAGCCUGGAGCCUCCAGCCUGGACCACUGUCUACCAUGCCCUGCAGGGAUGUUCUGUGCCCUACCUGGGCUUUCCCAGACAACGGGGCCUUGCCAGGCAGGAUACCACUGUCCCCCAGGUGCCAUCACACCCAAUGCUACUGAAUACGAGAAUUCUACCAGUAAUAAUCUGUGCCCCCGUGGCCACUACUGUCCAGCUGGCACUGGCUACCCUCUUCCGUGCCCACCGGGCUCUCUCUCCAGCUCCCUGGGACUGAGGGGCGUAGAGGAGUGCCAGCCUUGCCCCCCUGGGCACUUCUGUGACAAGCCUGCGCUGACCGCGGAUGGCGCCCCGUGUAGCGCUGGGUAUGUGUGUCUAGGGGGUAGCUCCAGUGCCCACCCCUCUGAUGGUCACCAUGGUUACCUGUGCCCCACAGGGCAUCGCUGUCCUGUUGGCACAGCUUCAGCGGUACCCUGUGAGCCUGGCACCUACAGUCCUGCCCCUGGUGCCGCCCACUGCCUCACCUGCCCUAAUGGCACCAUGUGUCCCUCCUCUGCCACCCAAGAGCCCUCUCUCUGCCCUGCUGGUCACUUCUGUCCUGCCCGGUGUGUGUUACCGCUGCCUUGUCCUGUUGGGACCCUCAGUGAACAGACAGGAGCCCCCUCGCCCUCUGCAUGCAGGCCCUGCCCCUCUGGGCUCUACUGUAGCUUGCCCGGCUCCUCACUACCACAAGGCCAGUGCCAGCAGGGCUACUUCUGCCAGCGUGGAGCACAUAGUCCAGCUCCCCAGAGCUCAGCCAUCUUUCCCAGGAACGGGCCCUGUCCUGUGGGCCACUAUUGCCUUUCUGGGACCCUCUCCCCACUGCCGUGUCCUGCAGGCAGCAUCCGAAACCACACCGGUGGGUUAUCCUUAGACAGCUGCUCCCCUUGCCCCCAUGGACACUACUGUUCCAUUGAGGGCCUGGCCUCCCCCAGUGGCCUGUGUGCUGCUGGCUUCUACUGCCCGUUUGACUUCUCCUCCACCACGCCCUAUGCUUUCCUCUGCCCUAAGGGUCACUACUGUCCAGAGGGCUCUCCCCUGGCCCUGCCCUGUCCUACAGGAGAGUACCAGCCCAACCCAGGCUCUGACUCCUGCAUCCCAUGCCGCCCAGGCUUCUACUGUGAGGAGGCCAUUGUUGGAGAGCCCUGGCCUUGCCCCCCUCACUCCUUCUGCCCUGCAGCCACCAUGGUUCCCCAGCCGUGCCCCAACGGUACGUUCACCCCUUCUGACCAGGGGGGGUUACAGGAAGAGCGGGAGUGUCUGCCCUGCCUCCCAGGGAGGUUCUGCAGGGCUGGUAAGAUCAAGGGCCAUUGUGCAGCAGGGUAUCUGUGUAUGUCUGGCAGCUCUGAGUUCACGCCACAGGGGCCUCACUCCAACUGGAGCCAGUGUGAAUGGGGGAUGCAGUGUGCCGGCCCCUGUCCAGCAGGAUUCUACUGCCCAGAAGGUUCAGAGAAGCCUGAAGUCUGCCCUGAUAACACUAUCAGAGUUUUACCUGGAGCAGCCAAUAUCCAUGAUUGUCUGUCUUGUCCACCACAGCACUGGUGCAAAAAAGGUGACCCUGUCCUGCACCUGUGUCCUGCUGGUCACUACUGUGAUGGGGUGGUUGGUAGUGACUACGAGGGAGGGACUGAACCCAGGGAAUGUCCGUUAUUUACCUACAGAUCCACACCCGGGGCAGCCAGCAAGGGGGACUGCCACCCCUGUCCCCCUGGAUUCUACUGUAACUCUACAGGUUUUACAGAUUACUCUGGCUACCCCUGUCCCCCGGGCUACUGGUGCAGUGGCACUGGUCUACCUAUACUAUGCCCUGCGGGUACCAUGAGGCCCCUUCCAGGGGCGGCAGCUGCCAGUCAGUGUGAGCCGUGUGCGGGGGGCACCUACUGCCCAGACCCCAUGUCCACAGGGCAGCCCAACAUUGCUGGAAUCUCCUGUAGAGCCUCGUUCCAGUGUCCCCCUGGUGCGGUCUCAGAGAGGCUGUGCAAGGCUGGCUCUUACUGUGGGCCCCAGACUGCAGAGCCUGAAAUCUGUCCUGAAGGCUACCUCUGUCCAGAGGGAUCUCACACCUACAACACACCAAACCAAGUUUGCGCGUUUCCCUACUACUGUCCUGCCAACAGCUCUGCCAUGCUGUCCUGUGAGGGGGGCUCCGUGCCCCUCAACACCAGUGGCCCCAGAGCCUCCCAGGACAGCAGCUGUGGGCUGUGUGAGGCAGGGACCUACCGACCUCGGCUGUCCCCCCAACCUCAGUGCCUCACCUGCCCACCAGGGUACCACUGCCCUCCAGGGACAGAGCACUACCACAGCAACCCCUGUCCCCUGGGCUAUGUGUGUCCGCUGGGCUCAUCCAGUCCUGUCCCUUGCCCCCCUGGUUCUUUUGGUAAUCUCUCCAACGCUGAACAUGUGGAGGACUGCUACCCAUGUCCAACUGAUACCUUCAACCAUCUGGCUGCCCAGAGAGCCUGUUUCCCCUGCGGAAGUUCCUCUACUGCACCCCAAGGGGCCUCUUCCUGCACCUGCCUUGGGAAGAACCGUGCUUUCCAGCACUCAGACGGCUCCUGUCUGUGUCGAACCGGCUUUAUUUUCUACAACAAUCUGGAUUUCAAGAUCUCCAGCUCUGACAGUGAACUGGACUGCCAGCCUGAGGUGAACAAGCGCUGCAGUGCAGGACAGGUGCGCCUGGCUGCAUCCAGAGAGUGUGUCUCACCCUCUCACCACUCCUGUAACAUCACCUGUGGACCUCAGGGAGGGAGUCUGGAUGUGGAGAUGGGCAUCUGCCACUGUGAGCGCUACGUAUCAGCAGAGGAGCUGUGCAACACAUCGUGUCUGUCCAGACUGCCCCACGUCUCUGCCAGGCUCUCCCCAGAUGGACAGCUGCUGCUGGGGAUCAAAGAGCCAGAUGAAAGCCGAGUGUGGAGCAGAAAAAUGAUGGAUGUUUUGGGACCAGACGUCCAUGUGAAGAACAUUGGAAACAUCCACUUUGUUCAAUUUGAUUCUGAAGGUGUAUUUGGUUGGAUUCUGAUGGACCGAAAUGUUAUUGAAAUGACCCUGACAGCAGAGCCAAUCGAAUUUAUUGACAUGCGAUCAAGGAAGAGGAGGGAUCUAGAAUCCAAGGCAGAACUUCUACACUCCUAUGUCCUCCCUCGUAUCCCCAACCCCAUAGCAUGCCUCUCCUCCAAUGACAUGCUCAUCUUCCAGCUCACCAUCAACUACAAUGACCGUCACAUCAGCCACUUCCCAGUGUAUCAGAAAGACCAUCUCUUCAAUAGCAACCCUAGCUGGGACUUUGGGGCCUUCCGGCGGCUAGAGCGACUCAUGAAGCAGACUCAGUUCAACUCUACCAGAUUUGCACACGUGUUCUCGGAGACGGGGAAGUAUGUGUUCCUGGACAACGCCAUUCCAGAGUGGAGUCUAGUGGUGGUGGUCAGUGAGAGAGGGACAGAGUGUGACCCCACUGCAGCUGUUUUCCAGCCCAUGACCCCCGCCCAACUGGUCAAGCACGGGGUCAUCAAACAACACCGGCUCAACCUGCUGCCUGACUGGGGCGCCAUCGUAGGUGUCCUGAGUCUCCUGCUUGUGCUGAUCCUGGUGCUCACCACCACAGCUCUGGUUCUGAAGUCCAGUCGGGCCAAGCUGGUGUGCCAGGGCAAACUGAGGCCUAAGUGGCGGAGCCUGGGAGAGCCCAUCCCCCCAGUGGAAUACGUCUACAGUGGAGAAAGCCUGAAUGGCCAGGGGGUGCUGGGCUGCAGGGGAGUCGGAGAGGGGGCUGAAGCUGAGGAGCCUGCAGUCUGCCGUGGAGGAGGAUACAUGACUGGGAAGUUUGAUCUGGAGCAAUUCAACGUGAAAACUCUCUACGACAAGCUGGAGGAUCAGAACCUGCAUUUGGCGUCCCAGCUGGCCAGGCACCGCAAGGACACCCAGGAGUUCUACCGGAAUAUCUGUCAACAAACAGAUACCCUGAGGGAUGUUCUGGAGAACAUGGAACCCAAAAAGUUGAGUCUGUUGAAAGAGCUAUUGGAACGCGAUGCCUUGCAGAAUGAAUCAUACACCAACACGGAUGCAGACGGGGAUGGACAUAUCCAAUCAGCAAAAGAUCCGUCAGUGGUGCUGAUGGGAGCUGUGGUCAGAGCUUUGGAGGCAGUCCUGUACAGACUUAGUGGAGAGAGCUGGCAGCAGCAUGACAUGACCGCAGCACACUGCCACACAGACAGCAGGGAGUGUGAACUGCACACAGGCUACAUACAGUUUUCCUCAGCCAACAUGACCAAACCUGCAUCAGGCCAUGAGACAGGACCACCACCUCAUGAUCUAGUACACCUACAGAGCACAGCCCCCUGUCUGAGUGAGCAGGACCUGUCCAAACUAGUGGCCAUGACCCCUCUGUCCAGGACCCUGCAGGAGAUACAGGAGUCCCUCCAGAACCUAUCUGGUGUAGACAGAGUUUGUAUUCCAGCCAGGACUGACAAAACCACAGAGGACCCAACAGUGCACCUGAUUCCCGUUGCCCUGGACAACCUCUCCCCACAGCACUUUGCCAUCUUCCUGUUCGGCUGUCAUGUUGUGAAACUGCUUUGCAACACUCAAAUCUUCCCCCCUGUCAUGCUGCUUCUGUCCAAAACGGUUCCUGUCUCAGCUUACGAGGGCCUGGUGUCACACUGCAGUGGGGACUUUUAUUUUGACACAACCAACCAGAUUCUGUAUCUCUGUGAGGCAAAGCUUGAGAGUGUGGGACAGUUUAUUGCCACUCUCCUACAGUCUAUGGCCUAUAUUGCUUCAGGUUCCAAGCCUGAAAGCUUCAUGCAAGUCCUCCAUCAUGCCAUCUCUGCUUUGAGCCUUCAGUUGUUCAACGCCUCUUUCAGAUAUGAUGCAAACAAGGCAAAGAGGGACACCUCACUGACCUCAGACCAGUCUCCUGGGAAGUUAGUAGAGGACUUUCUCAAUGUCCGUGUCCCCACUGAUAGCCAGUUCACAGAGCACCUCUUGUCAGACAGACUCCAACGAUAUAAGUAUUUCAAUGUGGAGCAAAUCAUGCGGGAUCUUAAACAGUUUCCAGCAGAGGACACUGAAAAGGGACCUUCACAACAGUGUUUAAGAACACCCGUCCAAGCUCACUGUUUGGAGAAGGAGAUGGACCAUCUGAAUGAGGUUUUCCUGCAGCUCAGCGUUCAACUCCAGAAGAGAACCCAGGGCGCAACAACCGAGAAGGCCCUGAGUCGUAAUGGAACAAUGAUGUUAGAGCUGAAGAGACGGUAUGUAUCCCAGAGGCUCGACGAGCUGCAAAUCAUAUUAAAUGGGAUGAGCCGGCGCCAGCUAGACGGCCACAGCCCAGAGGAAGAGGAGCAGACCCGAGAUCACCCACACCCAGAGCCAGACAACUAUAGAUCAGACGGUCAGGAGGAACACGAUCAUUCUCCAGACCAGGAGGACCUAGACAGCAGGGUACCAAAGAACCAUAAACUAGAAAAUAACCAGAGCCCGUACAAUCAGGAAGUAGAAAGCCAGGGACCAAGCAGUCAGAUGACAAGCAUGGGUAAAACAAGCUUCGGAGAACUAGAUGUAUGGGAAUAAGCCAGUUAGAAGCAUUGUGAAAAUGGGAUACUACUGAAGUGUGUGGUUUUGGUGUGAUUUGUCUCAUGAUUUUGUAGAUUACGUGUACAGUCUAGUGUAUGGUGUGAAUAAUAGAUGUAUAAUAGGUUCAUCACAUGUGAUUUAAUCAAACUGAUCAUUUUCGUUGGAGUGAUAUUUAUUAAAGAUAUGAAUUAUGCUUGUGCAUCGCUUUUAUCACAAUGUCACCA